rnacentral:rRNA from 1 species
AUUGAACGCUGGCGGCAGGCCUAACACAUGCAAGUCGAACGAGUGGCGGACGGGUGAGUAAUGUCUGGGAAACUGCCCGAUGGAGGGGGAUAACUACUGGAAACGGUAGCUAAUACCGCAUACCAUCGGAUGUGCCCAGAUGGGAUUAGCUAGUAGGUGGGGUAACGGCUCACCUAGGCGACGAUCCCUAGCUGGUCUGAGGGGGUGACCAGCCACAAGUGAAAUUAGACACGGUCCCGAAUCCUAGGGGAGGCAAGCGGGGGGAAUAUUGGACAAUAGGCGAAAGCCUGAUGCCACCAUGCCGAGGUUAUGAAGGAGGGCUUUGGGUUUUAAAGUACUUUCCGGGAGGGGGCGUUACCCGCAGGAGGAGAAUCGGCUAAAUCCGUGCCAGCAGCCGCGGUAAUUU